UUUAUGCGAUAAAAUGGUGUGAAUUGCAGAAUCCCGUGAACCAUCGAGUCUUUGAACGCAAGUUGCGCCCAAAGCCAUUAGGCUGAGGGCACGCCUGCCUGGGUGUCACACAUCGUCACCCCUUCCUCCACACUUAACUAGUUAAAUGUGAGGCGGUGGGUGAAAGUUGACCUCCCGCGAGCCAGUUCCUCGUGGUUGGUUGAAAAGCAAGUUCGGGGCGGAGUCCCCCACGAUAACGGUGGAUGAGCCAACGCUCGAGACCAAUCGUGCCUGUGCGACUCCGACGUAACGGACUGAUCGACCCCAUACGCAUCCUCUGUGCAAACCGAGUGUGCCAUCUACGAGACCUCAGGUCAGGCGGGGCUACCCGCUGAGUUUAAGCAUAUCAAUAAGCGGAGGAAAAGAAACUAACAAGGAUUCCCCUAGUAACGGCGAGCGAACCGGGAAAAGCCCACCAUGAAAAUCGGUCGCCUUCCGCGUUCGAAUUGUAAUCUGGAAAAAACCUCAAA
rnacentral:rRNA from 1 species